AUUGAACGCUGGCGGCAGGCCUAACACAUGCCAGUCGAGCGGAUGAAGGGAGCUUGCUCCUGGAUUCAGCGGCGGACGGGUGAGUAAUGCCUAGGAAUCUGCCUGGUAGUGGGGGAUAACGUCCGGAAACGGGCGCUAAUACCGCAUACGUCCUGAGGGAGAAAGUGGGGAUCUUCGGACCCCACGCUUUCAGAUGAGCCUAGGUCGGAUUAGCUAGUUGGUGGGGUAAAGGCCUACCAAGGCGACGAUCCGUAACUGGUCUGAGAGGAUGAUCAGUCACACUGGAACUGAGACACGGUCCAGACUCCUACGGGAGGCAGCAGUGGGGAAUAUUGGACAAUGGGCGAAAGCCUGAUCCAGCCAUGCCGCGUGUGUGAAGAAGGUCUUCGGAUUGUAAAGCACUUUAAGUUGGGAGGAAGGGCAGUAAGUUAAUACCUUGCUGUUUUGACGUUACCAACAGAAUAAGCACCGGCUAACUUCGUG
rnacentral:rRNA from 1 species